rnacentral:rRNA from 1 species
CGGUCACGUUCGUUGGAUUGAUAAAGGGUAAUAUAUAAAUUGAGGGAAAAUAACGGAGGAGGGAAGGAGGAGGGGGGAAAAAAAUUAAUUUUUUUAUUUUUUAAUAAUUAAAAAUAAAUUAAUAAAAAUAUUUCCACACAUAUAACACCCUUCAUGAUUGUGUGAGAGGUGGGGCACGAAUGUUUUUUUUUGGUGGGGUGAUCUGUCUGUUGAAAUGCGCACAAAAUUAAAGAUACCUUUUAUUAUCUCGACGUGACUUUCAAGUAUGUUUGUGUUCUGACAAAUCAUUACUUGUGUGAGGAAUUAAUGCAACGAAACCGACCAAACGGGUGAUUCUAGUGAACUUA